GAUAAACCUGUUAGUUGUGAUACAUGUGGAAAAAGAUUUGCCUUCAAGUCACAUUUAAACAGACACAUGAGAAUUCACACAGGAGACAAACCUUUUAGUUGUGAUGCUUGUGGAAAAAGAUUUGCUUUCAAGUCAGCUUUAAACAAUCACAUGAGAAUUCACACAGGAGACAAACCUUUUAGUUGUGAUGCAUGUGGAAAAAGAUUUGCCUUCAAGUCAGUUUUAAACAAUCACAUGAGAAUUCACACAGGAGAGAAACCUUUUGGUUGUGAUGAAUGUGGAAAAACACUUUACCUUCAAGUCAAAUCUAAACCAGGAUGAUAGAAUUUACAGAAAAGACAAACCCAUUGCUAGUUAUGUUUGCCAGGGCCACCAUUCAGCCUAGGGCUUUAACAGAUUUAAAUGAGAGUGUUUCAUCGCACAUUGCUUGGUUUUAUGGAUUACAGAUUUUUUAACAUGUAGAGUCCAGCAUGUUCAACACUCUCUGACAAAACAAUUACCAGCACAAGCUCUCCUCAGGGGUGUGUUUUAUCUUCAUUGUUAUUCACCUUGUACACAAACUCCUGCAAAAGCACUUUCCCUAAUAGACAUUUAAUUAAAUAUGCUGACGACAUGUCCCUUUUAGACGACAAAGGAGAGGAGCAUGGACUAGUUCAGGCCUUUUCACUAAUUGGUGCAAAAAAUCCAACUUGCUAUUGACUUCAGGAAGCUUCAGUCAUUCUCCCCAACCAUCAUCGAUGGAGAUCAAAUUGAGACUAAUGCUAGAAGUACCUGGGCAUGGUUCUGGACUGCCAUUUAAGCUGGUGACCUAGAUGUGAAUCACCACAUCUCUCUAUCCGUCCAUUUGCGGUUCGACCCCUGGCGUCUUCAAAUAAAGUUUCUCACUUCCA